rnacentral:misc_RNA from 1 species
UGUACGGGUUGCGUUCCGAUCCCCCGGUGGCUUCUCCUUUGGAGGUGUUGUCGGAGCUUUCGGUGCUUCUCGUCUUGCGAUGGGACGACGCAUGAGUGGCGAUUAGGAUAUGUUUCCCAUGCAGGCUCCAUGUCUAUGGCAUCGAACUGCUUGGGUCUAUCUAUUUCAUUUGUGGGUUUGCCUCGGCGUUCUCAUAGUCGGUCGCGACUACUCUUUGGGUUCCUGUGCUUGGUACUGAAUUUUGUAGUUGGAUGGAUUGUUGUUCCCUGUCAUUGUUUAUUCAUUCCCCCAACGCUUGCGCGACGGUGGUGGAUUUUGUGCGGGCAUCGACGUUUUCCUUUCGAGCCGUUGUCCCCCUUUGGGUGCUUCUGCUUGUGGUGGCACGUAGAUGCUAACGGCACUCUCGGGUACGGAGAUUUUCUGGUUAUCGCAUUGGUCGUCGACCUUUGUGGGAACGUAACGGAUCGAAGCUUUCUUGCUUCUGUAUGUAUGACCCUCGUGCUCGUCCAGGAGCUCACGGACCCUCUUCGUUUGGUGUUCUUCUUGGGGAGCCAUCGAGGUCUACAAAGGAAUGCUACCUGGUUGAU